CGAGCCGGCCGGGCGGUCGCGUGGGGAUCGCAAGAUCCUCCCGAGGAACGUCCGGGCUCCACAGGGCAGGGUGGUGGGUAACGCCCACCCGGGGUGACCCGCGGGACAGUGCCACAGAAAGCAAACCGCCCGGGCCGCACGGCCCGGGUAAGGGUGAAACGGUGGUGUAAGAGACCACCAGUGCCCAGGGUGACCUGGGCAGCUAGGUAAACCCCACCCGGAGCAAGGUCAAGAGGGGCCAUCGGCUGAUGGCCCUGCGCGGACGAUCGAGGGCUGCCCGCCCGAGUCCGCGGGUAGACCGCACGAGGCUGCCGGCAACGGCAGCCCUAGAUGGAUGGCCGCCUCCCGGCCGACCGCAAGGUCGCCCGGAGACAGAACCCGGCGUACAGGCUGGACUCGUCCG
rnacentral:RNase_P_RNA from 4 species